rnacentral:ncRNA from 1 species
AAUUAGGCGCCCGUACUGCAAACCGACUCUGGUAGGUAGGUAGAGAAUACCAAGGCGCUCGAGAGAACCCUGGUUAAGGAACUUAGCAAUCUAGCCCCGUAACUUCGGGACAAGGGGUGCCUCUGUAGGGUUUAUAGCCCGAAGAGGUCGCAGAGAAAUGGGGGUUGCGACUGUUUAACAAAAACACAGGACUCUGCUAACACGAAAGUGGAUGUAUAGGGUCUGACGCCUGCCCGGUGCCGGAAGGUUAAGGAGAUUUGUCAUCCUGAGCAAUCGGGAAAAGCAGAGAACCGAAGCCCCGGUAAACGGCGGCCGUAACUAUAACGGUCCUAAGGUAGCGAAAUUCCUUGUCGGGUAAACGGAUACUUGCCCGAAUAUUAGCGUAAGCUGAUAUCAGUAAACCGACUCGUAAUGACGAAAAUCCAAUAUGAUUGGACAACGCCAUGGGAACCCCGCACAUGCGGGGACCUUUAACGACUGAACCGAAAGGUGAGAUUUCAUCAAUUGAACUGAUGGAAUAAUACGUCGGCUCCUGCAUCAAGGAGACAGGUCAUGGAGAUGGCAUCUUAUAUUACCGGAUUUGUGGAUGGUGAGGGAUGUUUCUCAGUAUCAUUUUCAAAGCGGGAAAAGAUGAAAUUGGGUAUUGAGAUUCGUCCGAGCUUUUCCGUAAGUCAGCAUCGGCGCAAUAAAGAAAUUAUCCUAUAUCUGCAAAAGUUUUUUCAGUGCGGUGGAGUGCGAUAUUCCAGGCGGGAUCAAAACUUCAAAUAUGAAGUCAGGUCAAUUGCCGAUAUAGUAAAAAAGAUUAUCCCUCACUUUGAAAAAUACGAGUUGCAGACGAGCAAAAAGGAUGAUUUUAAUGCGUUUAAAGAAAUAUGCCGGUUGAUUCACGCCAAUCAACAUCUCAAUCAAGCAGGAAUGAUGAAGAUCAUUGAAUUGAGUGAACAAGUCAAUAAAACCGGCAAUAAGCGGUAUGACAGAAAAACUCUCCUAAAAUUUGUCGCAGGAUGAAGGCAUAGUCUGAACAUUAUGGCAACAUAAUGCUAACACCAAUGAAGUUCCGACCUGCAUGAAUGGCGUAACGAUAGCCCCGCUGUCUCAACCAGGGACUCGGCGAAUUUGAAAGGCCAGUGAAGAUGCUGGCUACCCGCAUCAAGACGGAAAGACC